CCUACGGGUGGCAGCAGUGAGGAAUAUUGGUCAAUGGACGAGAGUCUGAACCAGCCAAGUAGCGUGAAGGAUGACUGCCCUAUGGGUUGUAAACUUCUUUUAUAAAGGAAUACAACGAGGCACGUGUGCCUUUUUGCAUGUACUUUAUGAAUAAGGCUCGGCUAACUCUGUGCCAGCAGCCGCGGUAAUACGGAGGAUCCGAGCGUUAUCCGGAUUUAUUGGGUGUAAAGGGAGCGUAGAUGGCUUGUUAAGUCAGUUGUGAAAGUUUGCGGCUCAACCGUAAAAUUGCAAUGGAUACUGGCAGUCUUGAGUACAGUUGAGGUAGGCGGAAUUCGUGGUGUAGCGGUGAAAUGCUUAGAUAUCACGAAGAACCCCGAUUGCGAAGGCAGCUUACUAAACUGUGACUGACAUUGAUGCUCGAAAGUGUGGGUAGCAAACAGGAUUAGAUACCCCAGUAGUC
rnacentral:rRNA from 1 species